rnacentral:rRNA from 1 species
CCAGACUCCUACGGGAGGCAGCAGUGAGGAAUAUUGGUCAAUGGGCGGGAGCCUGAACCAGCCAAGCCGCGUGAGGGAAGAAGGUACAGCGUAUCGUAAACCUCUUUUGUCAGGGAACAAAGGCGGGGACGCGUCCCCGGAUGAGUGUACCUGAAGAAAAAGCAUCGGCUAACUCCGUGCCAGCAGCCGCGGUAAUACGGAGGAUGCGAGCGUUAUCCGGAUUUAUUGGGUUUAAAGGGUGCGUAGGCGGGCUUUUAAGUCAGCGGUAAAAAUUCGGGGCUCAACCCCGUCCGGCCGUUGAAACUGGGGAUCUUGAGUGGGCGAGAAGUAUGCGGAAUGCGUGGUGUAGCGGUGAAAUGCAUAGAUAUCGCGCAGAACUCCGAUUGCGAAGGCAGCAUGCCGGCUCCACACUGACGCUGAAGCACGAAAGCGUGGGUAUCGAACAGGAUUAGAUACCCGCGUAAC